UACUGUGAGAGAUGAAGUUUAAAUGAAGUACAGUAUAUUAACAGUGUUGAAAACAGUUUACUGUGAGAGAUGAGGUUUAAAUGAAGUACAGUAUAUUAACGGUGUUGAAAACAGUUUACUGUGAGAGAUGAGGUUUAAAUGAAGUACAGUAUAUUAACAGUGUUGAAAACAGUUUACUGUGAGAGAUGAGGUUUAAAUGAAGUACAGUAUAUUAACGGUGUUGAAAACAGUUUACUGUGAGAGAUGAGGUUUAAAUGAAGUACAGUAUAUUAACAGUGUUGAAAACAGUUUACUGUGAGAGAUGAAGUUUAAAUGAAGUACAGUAUAUUAACAGUGUUGAAAACAGUUUACUGUGAGAGAUGAGGUUUAAAUGAAGUACAGUAUAUUAACGGUGUUGAAAACAGUUUACUGUGAGAGAUGAGGUUUAAAUGAAGUACAGUAUAUUAACAGUGUUGAAAACAGUUUACUGUGAGAGAUGAGGUUUAAAUGAAGUACAGUAUAUUAACAGUGUUGAAAACAGUUUACUGUGAGAGAUGAGGUUUAAAUGAAGUACAGUAUAUUAACGGUGUUGAAAACAGUUUACUGUGAGAGAUGAGGUUUAAAUG